AAUACCAUGGUAAGCUAUUACAGCAUUGGGAACAGAUGGUGAAGUUUUCCAUAAAAGAGAAAGGGAAACAGACCUGUCUGAAGCAAGAAAGCCUGUGUGGAUGAAUAUUGCUUCCAGGAGUCACAUAAUUACAUCUAAAAUCAUAGAAUGUUAGAGCUGGAGGAAUCUUUAGAGUUUGCCCAAGGUCCUUCACCAGCAUUUUACAGAAGAUUCUUCGAUUUAACUGCUCUUAAUUACAUCCCGUUGCACUGGCCCCAUCAAGUUGCUUUAAACAGCCCUUCUAGUCAACAGAGCUGCAGAGAAAAACCUUGGUUGGUUCAGGUCACUAGGAUGCAGAGCUGUCACACUUCAUUUGUGAGAACACUCCAGAGCUUCCUCCAGCUGCUGAUUCCAAACCAGCUUCACACUCCUUCUGAAUCCAAGGCAAAUAAACAAACUAUGCAAAGAAAUCAAACAUGACUUCUUCUUGGUCCUAUAAGAAGAUUGUUCAUGCUAUGCUUGUUAGAAGAGUUACAUGUAUACCUAUGAUCUUCGAAGACUAAAGAAAAUAUCAAGGAAACGUAUUUCAAUAAUGAUAUGGUCAAGACAUAGAGUUUCUUAUAUUAAUAAUACAAAGUUCACUUUCUGAAAAAAUGCACAUAUUGUUUAAGAUCGUCACAUAGUUUAUAUAUUUUAAUCGCUCCAUAAUUACGGAAUUAUUUUAAAUAAUAGCAAUAAUUAUAAUUGUAGUAUUUAAUGUCAAUAUUUCUACAAAUUAUAUUUAAGUAAAUAAGUAUAUUGUGAAAGGAGAGGGAUUCAGGAUCAGGGGUAUGUUCAAAAAUCUAUUUGUUUUUGUCAUUGUUGAAUAAAAAUCUCCCAUCUCAAAA